CUGGAUUAUUAUGACAUCAAUACAGUCAUCAUCACUGCUUAUAACGGCUAUUUGAAUGCAGCCAGUGGAGCAGAGAUUCGUAUUGGAGACUCACUGGAAAACAAUGGAAACAAUAAUCCCAUAUGUGCUGUGACUGCUGGUCUUCUAGCUGGUCAAACCAUCAGUUUCUCAUGUCAUGGGAUAGAGGGACGUUAUGUGAAUGUGGUCAUGACUGGACAUACAUCUCAUCUCUCUCUCUGUGAAGUGGAGGUCUAUGGAGCAGUUCACAAAAAAAGAACCUUUCUGAGGCUGAAGUUUUCCUCCAGUGGUGAUGUAGCUG